GAUGAAGAACGUAGCGAAAUGCGAUAAGUAAUGUGAAUUGCAGAAUUCAGUGAAUCAUCGAAUCUUUGAACGCACAUUGCGCCCGCCAGCACUCUGGCGGGCAUGCCUGUUCGAGCGUCAUUUCAACCAUCAAGCCCCCAGGGGCUUGUGCUGGGGCCCUGCGGCUGCCCGCAGGCCCUGAAAACCAGUGGCGGGCUCGCUGUCACACCGAGCGUAGUAGAUCUCAUCUCGCUCAGGGCGUGCUGCGGGUUCCGGCCGUCAAACCACCUUCAUAACCCAAGGUUGACCUCGGAUCAGGUAGGAAGACCCGCUGAACUUAAGCAUAUCAAUAAGCGGAGGA
rnacentral:misc_RNA from 1 species